CAUGUCGGUCCGGAGUCAAUGGGUUAUCUCAAGCCCUCCCAUUGAUACCAAAUUUACCGUUAA
rnacentral:sRNA from 1 species